rnacentral:lncRNA from 1 species
UCUUUCCCUGAAUUUAUGUGAUCUUGGAAGUCUACUUCACCCCUUUUCCAGCAUCUCUAGGGCCUUGAGAUUGACAGAACUCACUAUGGGAACAAUAAUUAUUAACUUUUACUUCAACAAUCACCAACCUUUCAAAAGCGGAGCCAUUUAUCAUCAGAUAAUCUAGAAAUUCAUUCAACAAUUGCCCAGGCACAGGGCUGAGAUGCCCACCACGGAGGUCUACCAGAACAAGAGCCGCCAACCCCUUGCCAGGAUUAGAGGAGAUUCCACCAUGUAAUGGGAGGUGCAAGGUGCUCUUGUGGAUACAUUUAACGUUUCUGCCAAGACACCCACAGGUGGCAAGGCAGUAGCGGAUAUAAAGUAACAAAAGUGAAGAGGCACGGGCUGCUUCUCAAAGACUUUAUAGAUUUUUCGUAAAAAUACUGUCAAGUGACAACACAAGACAACUUCUACGCUUCUUCAAGAAGAGUGCGGAAACGUCUCUGGCAAGAAAAGACUGCUCCUUCCUCCCCGCGACAAGUACACCAGGCCAGUGGUUUUCCCUCUGUACCCUUUCCAGCUCCGGUUGCCUUUCGGAUCCUUCUACACACCCCAAGCUCUGCCUGACUUGGAUUUAAGAUCUUUCCAGAGGGGACAACUAAAAGCCGCCAGGUGGAACGGCAGAGUGCAGGACGCCAGAGCAGCCCAGCUCAGGU